CGGAUUAAUACCCUAUAAUAUUUACUUACCGCAUGGUAAGUAUCUUAAAACUCCGAAGGAUAUAGAUGGGCAUGCGGCUUAUUAGUUUGUUGGUGAGGUAACGGCUCACCAAGACUACGAUAAGUAGGGGGUCUGAGAGGAUGAUCCCCCACACUGGUACUGAGACACGGACCAGACUCCUACGGGAGGCAGCAGUAGGGAAUAUUGGACAAUGGACGAAAGUCUGAUCCAGCCAUGCCGCGUGCAGGAUGACGGCCCUAUGGGUUGUAAACUGCUUUUAUAUAGGAAGAAACCUUUCCACGUGUGGAAAGCUGACGGUACUAUACGAAUAAGGACCGGCUAACUCCGUG
rnacentral:rRNA from 1 species